ACCCGCUGAACUUAAGCAUAUCAAUAAGCGGAGGAAAAGAAACUAACAAGGAUUCCCCUAGUAACGGCGAGCGGACCGGGAAUAGCCCAACUUGAAAAUCUCCUCGGAGAAUUGUAGUCUACCGAAGCGCCCUCUGUGGCAGGCGGAGCUCAAGUCUGCUCUUGAACGCAGCGUCGGAGAGGGUGACAACCCCGUCGGCUCCAGCCCAGCUACUCCACGAGGUGCUUUCCACGAGUCGGGUUGUUUGGGAAUGCAGCCCAAAUUUGGAGGUAAAUCCCUUCUAAGGCUAAAUAUUGGCGAGAGACCGAUAGCGAACAAGUACCGUGAGGGAAAGAUGAAAAGAACUUUGAAAAGAAAGUGAAAAGUGCUUGAAAUUGUUGAGGGGGAAGCGCUUGGAAGCCGUGUGUGCGCCCAGGCAAACGCGUCUCUAACGAGCCGCUGGAUGUGCUGGGUGCUGGUCAGCGCGGGUUGGCUUGGCGGGACAACCGCCGGGAACGUAGGUAGCCCGGCCGAUGCCGCCGAGCCGACCAAGGAGUCAAUGGUCGCUCUGUCCUUCGGGAACUGCGUCCAAAAGGCGCUGGCAGAAGGCUUUC
rnacentral:rRNA from 1 species